GUUUCUGUCUGUAUCUGUAAUGGAUUGAUGAUGGUAGUUAGAAUCUGGUGUCCUUUUCCUCUCUCUCUCUCUCUCUCUCUCUCUCUCUCUCUCUCUCUCUCUCUCUCUCUCUCUCUCUCUCUCCUCCUCUCUCGCUCUCUCGAGCUCCUCCAAUGAAAUGAUAAACAGCCGUUUCCAUUUUCCAGUUUAACACCAAGAGAGCGAGAAGAGUUUGUUCAGAGACGGGUCAUCCGGUGUGUGCGUGCGUGCGUGCGUGUGUGCGUGCGUGCGCGUGUGUGUGUGUGUGUGUGUGUGCGCCCGCAGCAUAGUCUACUUGCGAAUUCAGAACUAUUCACUCGAAUCAAUUUGUAUGAAUAGCUACAACGUUUAAGGUCAGAGGUGAGGUGAGUUUUCGCUCCUUCUGUUACUUCAUUAGCAGGAAAUUCAACCACGCCGCCCUGAAUUAUUUCAAUAACUACACGUUUUUCAUGAGUGUGUGUGUGUGUGUGUGUGUGUGAGAGAGAGAGAGAGGGAGAGAGAGAACCUCAGGGUCUCCUGUGGCGUAGCCUGAUUGUUCAUCUACUCUCCUCCUAAGGAAAAAGGGAUGGAGGGAGAAGGAAAGUAAUAGAUAAAGAAUAAGAGUGUUCGUACAACAGUAGCGCUUCUCUGAUUAAGAGUCCGAGUCGGAGCUACAAGCUUCUCUGACUUCUUAACAAUAAUAGCUUUGAAUAAAUCCAAGGCUGCGUUUUUACAUACGCAGUGUUCCGUCUGUUCGAGUAGAACUUUGACGCGUUUUCCUCCCAGGAAAUUACCACAGCGAUUGCACCCGGGAGCAGACCAAACGAACCGGUUCGAGAGGAUCUGAGUGAGGUUAUAUCCGUCUCUUUAUACGUGAACGGGGGAAGGUAGAAACUAUUCGAUUCUGAAUCGACACGGCUGAAGGACGUGAAUGUCUUCUCAACGUGAUGUACAAAAUCCGUUGUAAUACUGGGUGUAUAUAUAUAUAUACACACACACAAUACCGUUCAAAAGUUUGUGGACACCCGACCGAAAUGUUUCUCACGAUCUUAAAAAGCUUUCGAUCUGAAGGUGUGUGGUUAAACGCGUGAAACCGGUGUCGUAGACGAAAAUAGAAUCGCGCCGACGUGUUCGUUUCUUUCGUUAGAAAACGUACAUUUUAUCUACCAAAAAAUAUAGAUAUAUAUUUUUUUUUAAAUGGACGACUCGGAGCGCAAUAUUUUUCCGAAAAGCAGCCGAUGAGAGUCCGGCGUCGGUGGGAACUCCUUUAAUACUGUUUAAAAAAGCAGCUCGGGGAAAUUCCUCGAGAAAUCGCUCGAGAAAACGGCGAGAAUACAUUUCGGGAAAUUCUAGGAGAAAAGGGCGUCGACUUCGAAGAUGCUAGAUAUAUAAUGCAUGCUGAAUUAUUCUGAUUUAUUUGGAUUUUUUUUUUAUCAAAACAUAAUUCCCAUUUGUGUUACUCCAGAGUUUUG
ensembl:lncRNA